CUUGCCCAGCCAGCUGAAACCCUGGCCUCACCCUUCCCUUCUGCUACCUACAAAAGCCCCCUGACAUAGCACUCUUGUCAUACUGAGACUAAGGUAGAAAAAGACACUUCCAAAGGGUGUCAAUGACAAGAGAGAAAUAGACAUAGAGUGGUCACUUCAUUUACCAACCCUGGAACCGCAGACCUCUGGGCUUCCUGGUAUGUGAUUUCAGUUUUACCCCUCACUGUUUAAAUUGCUUGAGUUAUGUAUUUUGUUAUUGAUUUAUUUAUUUAUUUAUUUAUUUAUUUUGAGACAGCGUCUCUCUCUGUCGCCCAGGCUGGAGUGCAGUGGUGCGAUCUCGGCUCACUGCAACCUCCGCCUCGCGGGUUCAAGCGAUUCUCCUGCCUCGGCCUCUCGAGUAGCUGGGAUUACAGGCAUGCACCACUACACCUGGCUAAUUUUGUACUUUUAGUAGAGAUGGGGUUUCGCCAUGUUGGUCAGGCUGGUCUCAAACUCCUGACAUCAGGUGAUCCGCCUGCCUCGGCCUCCCAAAGUACUGGCAUUACAGAUGUGAGCCGCCUCACCCGGCUUGUAUUUUGUUCUUGCAGACGAAAGCUGCCCACCAAAUAUGAACAGAUAGGAACCUCGUGAUCUUUUGGGGCUGUCAUCCUUCUCUCAGUCUGCCAGUAACUGGGAUCCUGGCAUUUAUCCUGGAGGUCCCUGAAGGUCCAAGAGGGAACAGAGGAAAUCUGAUUGGCACAGGAGGAAGAGUUGGAAGAAGAAGAGCGAUAGAUAGAGAGAGGAGACAACAAGGUCCCUCUGGGACAGGCUGAAUUCCAGAUGUCUGUGGGACACUAGGCCAUUGGCUAUGGUGGUCUGAGACCCUAAACAGGGGCCUGGGAUAGGGUUUUAGUCUGGUCACCAUGUACACACGGAGGCAGGGUAUAGAGUGAGAAGAUGGGAUGAUUGAAAGGCCUGGGACACGAGCCAGGGAAACGCAGGAUAGAAAUGACUGGCAGAGGCUGGGCACGGUGGCUUACGCCUGUAAUCCCCACACUUUGGGAGGCCGAGGUGGGUGGAUCACUUGAGGCCAGGAGUUCAAGACCAGGCUGGCCAACGUGGAGAAACCCCAUCUCUACUAAAAUACAAAAAAUUAGCGGGUCAUGGUGGCAUGCACCUGUAAUCCCAGCUACUCAGGAGGCUGAGGCAAGAGAAUCUCUUGAAUCCUGGAGGCAGAGCUUGCAGUGAGCUGAUAUCACGACACUGCACUCCAACCUGAGCGACAGACCAAGACUCUGUCUCAAAAGAAAAAAAAAAAAAAGAGGUGACUGACAGAGAAUGACCCCAGCAAAGGACCAGAGAAGGAGCAGUCCACGGAGGACCACUUGGAGAGGGUGGGUGGGGGGAAACCCAGCUCACAGGAGAAGGUGUGGCCGAUGGUGUGGCAUGCUGCUGAAAGGCCAGGGGCCGCAGUGACUGUGUCCAGUCCUUCCUCACCCCGCUGCAGAGUCAGUCCAGGAGGCCUUUACCCACAGCACUGCCACCUCCCUCCACGACCCCUGUCUUUCUCUUCCCCAGAUUAAACGCUCCCACUUCUCUCCAUUCUUCUUUCUCCACCCCCAGGCCCAUUUCUGCCUCGGUUGCCUGCCUCCAACCACAAUCCAGUUUUUUGGCUCCCAGAGACAGACAUGCCCAGAUCUGAACACCACCCACCUGGAUAAAGAAAAUGGGUACGGCCAAGACCAUAGACCUAGUGAUUGUCAGAUGAACAAUUAGACCCACAGAACCAUCCAAGCUACAGAGGACGCAUUCUGCCUUCCCUUGGAUCCUGUGGUUUGAGGAUGGAGGUCUAGGACCGUGGCAGGCUUUUUGUCCCAUGAGGGAAGGCCAUGGAGCUGAGGAAGGGGAAGAACACACACACCUAAUGGAAUCUCGAGAGAAAGUUCAGACAUCAAAAGACAGAAGCGACAGAGACCCAGGUCUGUGGGGACGCUGUAUGGCUGAGUCAAGUCUUGAUCAAAGUCAGCAUUAUAUCUGGACUUGCACAGUUUCUGAGCCUUGAAACUCCAUUUCGUUUAAGUGAGCUUUUAACUGUCACAGGCAGCUGCAUGCACACACAAGUCCAUGUGAUUAGAUGUUUCCAAGAGUCUGGAAUAACAUACCCCAAACUGUUAAUAGUGGUUACCCUAUAGAAGGGGAGUAGGAAGGUGUGUGUUGGGGUGGAGGAUGGUUUGCCAACUGGAAACUCACUCCAGGCUAACAUUUAUUGCUAGGCACCAUUCUAAACUUUGCCAGUAAUCCUCUCCCUAGAGGCUGAGGAAGACCACUUCUUCAAGCCCUAUUUAAUAGACAGCGUGGCCAGGCAUGGUUGCUCACGCCUGUAAUCCCACCACUUUGGGAGGCCGAGGCAGGUGGAUCACCUGAGGUCAGGAGUUCGAGACCAGCCUGGCCAACGUGGUAAAACCUCUUCUCUACUAAAAAUACAAAAAAAAUUAGCUGGGCUUGGUGGCGGGCACCUGUAGUCCCAGCUACACGGGAGGCUGAGGCAGGAGAAUUGCUUGAAUCCAGGAGGCAGAGGUUGCAGUAAGCCAAGGUCGCACCACUGCACUCCAGCCUGGGUGACAGAGCGAGACUCUGUCUCAAAAAAAAAAAAAAAAAAAAAAAAAAAGAGGAAAGAAAAAUGAAAGAAAGAAAGAAAAAUUAGCUGGGUGUGGUGGCGUACGCCUGUAGUCCCAAGUCCCAGCUACUCGGGAGGCUGAGACAGGAGAAUCGCUUAUCACUGGAGUCCAGGAGGCAGAGAGUGCAGUGAUAUCUCACCAUUGUACUCCAGCCUGGGUGACAGAGAGAGACAUAGUCUCAGAAAACGGAAAAAAAAAAAAAGAGAGAUGGGGAAAUGGAAGAUAUAGGGGUUACAUCACCUGCUCAAAAUUAUGCUGCAAGUAAGUGGUGACACUGGGAUUUGAACUGAGACAGUCUAGCUUCAGGUGGCCGCAUCCUUCCCACUGCAUUCUCCUGCCUCUCUAGCUCCCUCAGUGGGCUGCUGGGUCCCAGGCCUUGGGCUGGCAUGGAUAAUCCCUUCAUGCUCCCCUUGUCACUAAACCCCCCCACCUCACCUGCCAACACACACACAACCACCUGGAGCCCCUGCCAGUGUUUCCUCUUCCUCCCACUUGGCAUGUUGAAGACCAGAAUCACUCCCCUUUCACUCCCCACUUCAUCCCACCUGGGAAAACAGGACCCUGCCGGCCAACUCAGAGCCCCACAGGGUUGCAUUUUAGGUACCGUUUACAUUUUCUUUAAGCCCUGUUCACAUUCUCCAUUCACAUUGGGAAAAAUAUAAAGGGUUAGUAUCCCCAGCAUUGAUGAGGUUCUAAGGCAGAGGGUACGCAGGUGGGACUACAGCGCUUUUUGGGGGACAUUUGGAUAAAAUCCAUCCCAUUGCCGGGCGCAGUGGCUCAUGCCUGUAAUCCCAGCACUUUGUGAGGCUGAGGUGGGCGGAUCGCUUGAGGUCAGGAGUUGGAAACCAGCUGGCCAACGUGACAAAACCCCAUCUCUACUAAAAAUACAAAAAUUAGUUGGGUGUGGUGGCGGGCGCCUGUAAUCCCAGCUACUCAGGAGGCUGAGGCAUGACAAUUGCUUGAACCCGGGAGGCGGAGGUUGCAGUGAACGGAGAUUGUGCCACUGCACUCCAGCCUGGGGGAUACAGUAAGACUCUCUUUUUUGAGAUGCGUUUCUCUCUUUCACCCAGGCUGGAGCGCAGUGGUGCGGAUCUUGGCUCACUGCAACCUCAGCCUCCCAGGUUCAAGCAAUUCUCAUGCCCCAGCCUCCCGAGUAGCUGGGAUUACAGGCACAUGCCACCAUGCCCGGCUAAUUUUUGUAUGUUUAGUAGAGAUGGGGUUUCACCAUGUUGUCCAUCCUGGUCUCAAACUCCCGACCUCAGGUGAUCCACCCGCAUCAACCUCCCUAAGUGCUGGAAUAAUAGGCAUGAGCCACCGUGGUCAGCCGAGAAUGCACAUACUCUCUCCAUUCUUCCUCCAUGCGUACGCCCAUUUCUGCCUUGGUUGCCCACCUCUGACCACAAUCCAGAACUAACCACUCCACUUUUAGGAAAGUAUCCUACAGAAAUAGCUCAACAAGUACACUGGCUACAGCAUUCCUGUAAAUGGUCAGAGGCCAUGGAACUCCAACAGCUGCCAAAAGGAAAAAAGUAGCUCUGGGCCAGGCAUGGCGGCUCACACUUGUAAUCCCAGAGCUUUGGAAGGCCAAGGCAGGAGAAUUGCUUGAGGCUAGGAGUUCGAGACCAGUCUGGGCAACAUAUUGAGAACCUGUCUGUGCAAAAAAAAUUUAAAAAUUAGCGAAGUGUGGUGGUGUGUGCCUAUAGUCCCAGCUACUUGGGAGGCUGAGGUGGGAGGAUCACUUGAGCCCAGGAGUUUGAGGUUACAGCGAGCUGUGAUAGCAUCACUGCACUCCAGCCUGGGUGACAGAGUGAGACCCUGACUCAAAAACAAAAGUAACUCUGACUUAGGAACAGGCACAGAGGAGAUCAUGGUACACUGUUGAUAAAACAAUUUGCAGAAUAAUUUGUAGAAUACGACCCAAGUUUUUUAAAACAAUAAAAACAAAACACACAACAUAAGCAUAUAGAAAAUUGCCUGAGCUUUCCUCAGCUGCUGCCAAGGUGUUCGGUCCUUCCGAGGAAGCUAAGGACACAUUGAGGUGAGGCCCUCACUUCAUCCAGUGACUAGCACUGCGUCCGGCAGCGCCAGUCCCACACUCGCCCGCGCCAUGGCCUCCAUCUCCGAGCUCGCCUGCAUCUACUCAGCCCUCAUUCUGCACGACAAUGAGGUGACUGUCACAGAGUAUAAGAUCAAGGCCCUCAUUAAAGCAGCUGGUGUAAAUGUUGAACCUUUUCGGCCUGGCUUGUUUGCAAAGGCCCCGGCCAAUGUCAACAUUAGGAGCCUCAUCUGCAAUGUAGGGGCUGGAGGACCUGCUCCAGCAGCUGGUGCUGCACCAGCAGGAGGUGAUCCACCCGCAUCAACCUCCCUAAGUGCUGGGAUAAUAGGCAUGAGCCACCGUGGUCAGCCAAGAAUGCGCAUACUCUCUCCAUUCUUCCUCCAUGCGUACGCCCAUUUCUGCCUUGGUUGCCCACCUCCACUGCUGCUGCUCCAGCUGAGGAGAAGAAAAUGGAAGCAAAGAAAGAAGAAUUUGAGGACUCUGAUGAUGACAUGGGCUUUGGUCUUUCUGACUAAACCUCUUUUAUAAUAUAUUCGAUCAAAAGCUGAACUUAGUGGUAAAACCAUGUCUCUACUAAAAAUAAAAAAAUUAGCCGGGCAUGGUGGCGCAUGCCUGUAAUCCCAGCUCCUAAAAAAAAAAAAAAAAAAAAAAAAAAAAAAAAAAAAAGCUGAACUUAAAAAGAAAAGGGAAAGAAAGAAAAUUGCCUGAAAGGAUAAACACCAAAAUGGUGAGAAAGGGAAGUAGAAUUAGGGAGGACCUGGUGAGUGGGAAAAUUUUCAUUUAUUAUCUGCAUACGUCAAUAUUGUUCAAAUUUUUACUUUAAGAAGACCUUACUUUUGCCGGGCAUGGUGGCUCACGCCUGUAAUCCCAGCACUUUGGGAGGCCAAGGUGGGCGGAUCACCUGAGGUCAGGAGUUCGAGACCAGCCUGACCAACAUGGAGAAACCCUGUCUCUACAUUUAAAAAAAAAUCUUAAAAAAAAAUUCUAAAAUGCAACAGAUUUUUUUUUUUUUUCCGUCCCGGGUUCAUGCCAUUCUCCUGCCUCAGCCUCCCGAGUAGCUGGGACUACAGGCACCCGUCACCACACCCAGCUAAUUUUUUGUAUUUUUAGUAGAGACAGGGUUUCACCAUGUUAGCCAGGAUGGUCUCGAUCUCCUGACGUCGUGAUCCACCCACCUCGGCCUCCCAAAGUGCUGGGAUUACAGGCAUGAGCCAAAGCGAUCGGCCAAAUGCAACAGAUUUUUUUGUUUUGUUUUUGUUUUUGUUUUCAGAUGGAGUCUCACCCAGCCUGGAGUACAGUAGUAUGAUCUGCAACCUUUGCCUCCCAGGUUCAGGCGAUUCUCCUGUCUCAGCCUCCGGAGUAUCUGGGAUUACAGGCACGUGCCACCACGCCCGGCUAAUUUUUUGUAUUUUUAGUAGAGAUGGGUUUCACCGUGUUAGCCAGGAUGGUCUCGAACUCCUGACCUCGUGAUCUACCCGCCUUGGCCUCCCAAAGUGCUGGGAUUACAGGCAUGAGCUACCGUGCUCGGCCAUGCCUGGCU
rnacentral:lncRNA from 1 species